rnacentral:tRNA from 1 species
GGCGACCUGGUGGAACCUUCGAUGCACUCGCCUUGAAAGCGAGCGUGGGUGAAACCACCGGGGGUUCAAAUCCCUCCGCUU